rnacentral:lncRNA from 1 species
AUUUUGGGUCGAGAAGCCAUAGAAAACUCAAAAGAUCGUCACUCUUCUUGUGAGGAAACCAGCAAAGGGAGAAUGUUACACUAUGUUACCCAAAGAAAGGAUCAAAACUGCACUAAAACACAACACAAAGAAAGCCAAAUUUUAAUUAGUUGAACGACAAGAUAAUCGAUAAAAAACUAAAGAAAGUUUAAACGGUAAAGCAUAAAAAAAAAACCACGCACCUAGGAUGUAAGAGAGAAAAAGGAGAGGACGAAGUCAAUGACGUUAUGAGAAACCACAAUGCAAUGCUGCAAGAGAUAAAAAGUAGAGGUGCGCAAGCGAGUAAAAGAAGAGGAGAAGCAGAGAAAAAAAAGAAGAGAUGAAGACACGAUCAGAAACUGAAUGGCGAUAAGAGUCUGCGGUCUAUUUAAAAUGAAAUGGGGCGUCGGUUGCUCCAGAAACCGACGUCUAUAGAUGUCGGUGUUUCAGGGGAUUCGACGUCUAUUAUACGUCAAAGAAGCUGAAAAGAUUGACGUUGAUUCCCUGUCAGGGUAGUUCACGUCGGUGCCCCUCCCAGCCGACGUCU